rnacentral:sRNA from 1 species
UGUUAUACCAGGGUCUACUGCGACCCCCA